CCUACGGGUGGCAGCAGUGAGGGAUAUUGCACAAUGGGGGAAACCCUGAUGCAGCGACGCCGCGUGAGUGAAGAAGUCCCUCGGGGUGUUAAGCUCUUUCAGCAGGGGAGAAAAUGACAGUACCUGACCGAGAAGCCCCGGAUAACUACGUGCCAGCUGCCGCGGUUAUACGCAGGCAGCAGGCGUUAUACGGAUUUACUGGGUGUAAAGGGGGCGUAGUCGGUUAUGUAAGUCAGGAGUGAAAGCCUGGGGCCCAACCCCGGGACUGCUGUCGAAACUGGGUAACUUGAGUACAGGAGGGGUAGGCGGAAUUCGUGGUGUAGCGGUGAAAUGCGUAGAUAUCAGGAGGAACACCGGUGGCGAAGGCGGCCUGCUGGACUGCAACUGACGUUGAGGCUCGAAAGCGUGGGGAGCAAACAGGAUUAGAUACCCGUGUAGUC
rnacentral:rRNA from 1 species